ensembl:lncRNA
CAGGGCCCGUGUGGUUCAGUUGGUAGAGCAUGGCGCUGGGUUGCGGGUUGCGAGUUCGAUUCCCAUGGGGGACCAGUAUGAAAAGCCGGUGAGAAGAACCUGAUCACGUGACGGGCAUUGGCUAGUAAGAAUUGAGAUAUCUGAGAGAGCCAUGAGGCUUCUCUAUCAACUGAUUUCAGCCAGUAUAUGGCUGUGGAUUGACUGCAUUGUUUGAAUGGAAUAUUUUCAGGAUGAUUUCUCUUGCGUGAGCGUGUCCCUCUCCAUUGUCCUAGUGUUCAUGGGUCCCAUAUUGCACAACAGCGUCUGUUCAUCCUCAGUUGGCCCCUAGCCUUCACUACCCACUCGCUCUGCUCUACUCGUCUGCAGCGCAGCAACCAAGUUGGGCUGCACACUGUUCUGAGA